UACGAAGGGUGCAAGCGUUGCUCGGAAUUAUUGGGCGUAAAGGGUUGGUAGGUGGUCUUGUUUGUCUAAGGUGAAAUCCCAUGGCUUAACUGUGGAAGUGCCUUGGAAACGGCAAGACUAGAGUCCUAGAGGGGUUUGUGGAAUUCCCGGUGUAGCGGUGAAAUGCGUAGAGAUCGGGAGGAACACCAGCGGCGAAGGCGGCAAACUGGAUAGGUACUGACACUCAACAACGAAAAGCGUGGGGAGCAAACAGGG
rnacentral:rRNA from 1 species